rnacentral:rRNA from 1 species
ACGGAAGGCAGCAGUGGGGAAUAUUGGACAAUGGAGGCAACUCUGAUCCAGCGACGCCGCGUGAGUGAAGAAGUAUUUCGGUAUGUAAAGCUCUAUCAGCAGGGAAGAUGAUGACGGUACCUGACUAAGAAGCCCCGGCUAACUACGUGCCAGCAGCCGCGGUAAUACGUAGGGGGCAAGCGUUAUCCGGAUUUACUGGGUGUAAAGGGAGCGUAGGCGGCCAGACAAGUCAGGUGUGAAAACCCGGGGCUUAACCCCGGGACUGCACUUGAAACUGCCUGGCUGGAGUGCAGGAGAGGCAAGUGGAAUUCCUAGUGUAGCGGUGAAAUGCGUAGAUAUUAGGAAGAACACCGGUGGCGAAGGCGACUUGCUGGACCGAGACUGACGCUGAGGCUCGAAAGCGUGGGGAGCAAACAGGAUUAGAUACCCUGGUA